AUUGAACGCUGGCGGCAGGCCUAACACAUGCAAGUCGAACGAGUGGCGGACGGGUGAGUAAUGUCUGGGGAACUGCCUGAUGGAGGGGGAUAACUACUGGAAACGGUAGCUAAUACCGCAUACCAUCAGAUGUGCCCAUAGGGGAUUAGCUUUUGGGUGGGGUAACGGCUCACCAAGGCGACGAUCCCUAGCUGGUCUGAGAGGAUGACCAGCCACACUGGAACUGAGACACGUUCCAGACUCCUACGUGAGGCAGCAGUGGGGAAGAUUGCACAAUGGGCGCAAGCCUGAUGCAGCCAUGCCGCGUGUAUGAAGAAGGCCUUCGGGUUGUAAAGUACUUUCAGCGGGGAGGCGUUACCCGCAGAAGAAGCACCGGCUAACUCCGUGCCAGCAGCCGCGGUAAUAC
rnacentral:rRNA from 1 species